GCAACCGAUCUCUCUCCGCUAUUCCUCUUGGCUCGUCGCCGUCGUCUUUCACCACCACCGAACCAGUCGACGAGGGGCGAGGAUGGUCGCGGAGGACGCGCGAUAGCAAAGCGAGAGGAUAUCGUUUGCGUGUGCCGGAACCUCUUCGUCCUUCGUAAGCCGGCGAGUAUGUGUUCGCGGAGGACGCGAACGCAGACGCGUCCCUUGUGCAACGCGGAACGCUAAACUCGUAGCGGAGCAUCCUUCUUCGCGACACACAGAGACGCAUCCUUGCCCUUUGUGCAUGCUUCUAUUGUUCUGGAAGCGGAGCCAGGUACCGGGCCACCGAUACCGGCAAUUCCUUUGCAACCGGCACCGUCGUGACACACGUCGUCUCUGUUUCGUAGAAGAGGCUGGCUGCUAAGAAAGAGGAAAAGAAAGGGAAGAGCUCGCGAGAUCGCUCGUCGUUUUCGGAGAUUCUGUCCGCACGGAUGCCCGACGGAUGCUUUCGCCCGUGCCCGCGGGCGACUCCAAGUCGCUGUACUCGAUAGAGUCGGCUCUAAUCGACUGGAGAUCGAAGAAUGGAUUCAAGCAGGUUGUCCCGAGACGCUUCGCUCUCGCGUGGAGCUCGAUGCUCCUUGUUUUUUUAAUGAAAUUUUGUUGCGUAACACCUGUUGGCCGACGUUACCCCUCUCGUGGCCCGAUUCCGACGUUUAUUUCUAUGGUUUCGCGAGGCAAGGAAACCGAAGUCGUCCUUGGGGAAGUACGAAAGUCUAUCGUUCUUGCUUCUUGAACUUGGAAUCGUUUUUCGGCUUUUCCGACAUACACCGACGAUAUUUCGCGAUACGUGGUAAGAGUCGAACGCACUUGAGCGCGUUCGUUUUUUAAUUCACUACCGUAGAUUCGUUAUCUUAAGUGUCAAGUACUCGAGAUAAAAUUUAUCAAAGACUUUCAGUUCACACUAACGCGUAAGUGUCCUAAUAAUAAUAAUCGUGACUCGCUAGAGUAUUAUCGUAAUUACAGACGCGUUCGUACGUGGUCGAAAUUCGAUACUCGAAACGUAUACUUCGCUUUUUUGCAGGGGGUUGUCGUCGCAUGAUUUUAUUACGCGUGUUUGUCAACGACUUUACGCCGAUAAAAAUUCGUCCAAGUUGGAAACACCGAUACAUCGUAAAUUUCAAUUUCGCGGCGAUCUCUGGGAUAAAUCGUUCCGCGGGAAAGUCGGGGGGGGGGGGGGGGAGAAGUUCGGUAUCGAUAUAUUUCGCGCAUAAUCGAGUGUCUUCUCGAGAACGAUCGGAUAUAAAUAGAUUCGAUGUAUCUCGAUCGUUGAACCGCCGCACUGUUUUAAUAUUCGCGGGGAAAAAGACGAUUCUCCGUAGUAAAUCGUCGCUGUCUCCGGUGAGAGAGUGCGUUUGAAAAAAUGCACGGAUCAUAGACAGGGUCGGGAAAAUGGCGAAUCUAAAGCGUCAUCCAAACAGCGUUACUCGAGGCAUCCAAUUUCCUGUUAAUAUGUGGCCAGAAAAUAUAUAGGAGAUGGAUUUCCAUGAUCUUGCUUUUCUCCCGUGGCAAUUUUUCAGAAUAAUCUGUCGGAAAAUUUGCCACCGGAUGCAAGACUCUGUCGCUUAUAUACCUAUAUGUGUGUGUGUGUGUGUAUGCGCUGGUGCUUCGUCACACUUAACUUCUUUUCGUUGGAUUGCACGGUUUUUCAAUAGCUACGUCUCCAGAGGAUGAUGGAUUUGGUUAGCAUAAGUAGCGUAAUGUGGUCACCUCGAUCUCUCCAGACCUCUCACUUAGAUAUAUUUUUUGUCCUCCUUUUUAUUUCUAUCGCGCGUAAAUGGAAUUUUCGUUAGCUGUUGCGCCCAGUGAAAAUCGACGAACCUCGCGACCCGCAACAAUGGCUUUCGAAGUCAUUAAAUAAUACACAAUGGCUUUCGAAUUGCUCGCGCGACGAACGAUAUUUUCAGCUGCUUUGUGGAGUAUGUUCGACCAGACACUACGAGCAUCUGUAUAACCCGGAACAAUCGUAAACCAACUGGUUGUUCUGCUCGUUUAUCGAGUUGUUGUUGUUCGCGUCUUUCAGAAUCCGGAUUUCACUGACGAGUCUUUUCGACGAGGAUUUUGAUGAACGCGACUACGUAACUGGCUAUAACGCGGUUAAAUGGCCGCACGAUUACGCGUACUCGCUUGACAGUACGAAAAUUACGAGAAAAUAACGAAGAGAAAUUAUUUCGCGAGAUACAUUUCACGCUAACCUAUGGCGACCUAUGGGUACCUAUGGCGAAGCUUUCAAAGUCCGUUCGAUGCGUGUUCUAAAUAGAAAUUUCUCCGGAGCGGAGAUCGCACGAUGAAUUAUAUUUUUAUCGAUCUUCAAGACGAAGAAGUCUUCAAGACGAAUAAGAGUACUUUGCUACGACGUAUGUAGUUGCAAAGGGAAACAAUCUGUUCGUUAGUCAAAAAAAUAGGAAUCUUCUGAAAUAACCGAUGGACGUGCAAAGUUUUACAAAAGAUCAUUAGGCGAUAUAAUUACUUUUACGACGUACGCUACGGAUAUUUAUACGAAUAUCCAAUAGUAGCUGAUAAUAGAAAACGUGUUAUUAAUAAUUUUCUACUUGGAGUUCGGUUAUCCAACUCGAGCUUCCAUCUCACAUCUAAUUUCUGACAAAUUCAGAUUUGUACUGCUUAAUUCGAACCUCGUUAUUACUACUCGUUCUUUCGUGUACUUUAUAUCAAAUCGUUUAAUUUAAUCGCUUAGAAAUUCGAAGUGGAAAAUAAGAGACGAAGUUAUUUGCCAAACCACUCGAUACUAUAGAGUUUUAUCGAAACUCGUUACCGCGGUUAAAUGCGAUAAAAAUUCUCAUAAAUACGCAAAAAAUGUUAUCGCGAGCAUGAUCCCACCUCCUAUUACAAUACUUACGAACGACCUUUCGUAGGCGAGUCGGUAAACGUCUGAAAAAUGUCAGGCUCUGUGUCUUAGAAACCGAAGAAAACGCGACAAACAGGGGGAGGUAAGCGACCAGUGUGCGUCGCGAAAAAGGAAACGGAAGAUAGGGGAGAAAAGGGUGAAUAGAACGUUCGUGAAAGUUUCGCGUGACACGCCGCGUUGGGCUAUCGUCUGGUUCGUACAAGGGUGAUUUUGCUAGCCAUGGAACGCAGGAGGGUUCGCCGACCAGGGGUUGCUCGGCAUCUAUCGGUAGGCCGGAUUUCACCCCCGUGUGCACGCGAGCCCAACUUUCUAUGGCAUUGGUUUCCGUGGAAUAUUCGUGCUGGCUCGAUCGGUCGACGGCUGAUGAGCGCGUGUAAUAGAAGAAACUGACUGGCUUUCGUGAGAGAAGAAGGAAAGAUAGGAGACGAUGUAGAAAGAGGCAUAAAAACAGGAAGAACGCGUAAGAUGAUUCCACGAAAAUAAUUUCCCUUUUCGGUCGAAGAGUCUUAGUUAGAAGACCGACUUGCUGGAACGGUUCGUGCUUUUCUGGUUGGAGCUUCCCUUCGGAUAAAAUUGCGGAUAUUGUCGAUGCGAGAUUCAUGGAGAGCAGAUAAGAUGGACAAUUCAAAUCAAUGGACGAUUAAUUAUUAUCGAUUUGUUGUAUUAUCGGUUAUAAAUUGGCUAUUCCAGUUGUUAAUUAUUCUUUGGUAUUAUAACAAAUUUCUGAAGAAGAAGAAACACCGAUAAGAACAAUAUCUGGCAAAUUUGUGCAACUCAUUUUUAUAAUCCGCGGAUCUUUAUUCGUUUCUAGAAAAUUUCAAGGUGGAAAAUCACGCGAAAUCCAAAUGUACAAGGUGGUUGGUAACUGAUGAUAGAAGCGAAAAGGGGGUGAUUCUACGCGAAAAAGGAAGUCGAAAAUAUAGAAUAAAAAUGUUUCGUUCGAGGCUUUGUUUUCGAGAAAAUCAACUUUGAAUUUUCGCUCGGUACGCGUGCACUUUAUCGCGUCUCGUUAUAACGGAUCUAGAUCGUUGUCUCGAUCGACGUUAUUUAUAAAAUUUUUAAAAUUUUUAAAUGUUAAAUUUUUAAAUUUUUAAAUUUUUAAAUUUUUAAAUUUUUAAAUUUUUAAAUUUUAAAUUUUUAAAUUUUUAAAUUUUCACCCCCUUUCCGCUUGUACCACCAGUUACCAACCACUCUGUAUAUAAAAUAUUCGAAAUACCAGACUCUACGACAUUUAUAAUAACUUUCUACUUAGGCUGCAUCUUUUUAAUUACAUUCAUAAAGAUAGAAAUUCGUACGAAUAUCGGUCUCGAUAGACGUCGAUCUUGUGAAUCGAUUAGAAAGAAAUCGUAAAACGACCGAGGCGUUAACGCAACGUUGCUUCUCGACGGUUUAAUGUCAAGCUCUCGAUUUCGCGUAGCUCGGUCGCUCGCAACGAACAAUCGUGUUAAAUACGCGUUUCCACGUUACGUAUCAUCCCGUUUGUUUCGAUCGUGGCUCGUCCGAAACUUGAAUUUUCCCUUGCUUUUUCGUAGAACGCUUUGGUUUUUUGAUAUUUUUGAGAACGAAGCCAACGAAGCCAGACUUGGAAUUGCUCGUCGCCGUACACGAUGUCAUUCCUGGUUCUUCCAAUUUGCCGGCAAGCUGCCGCGUUUUUGAGAGGCUGCGUCAGGGCUUUUCCGUACAUAGUCUGGCAGAGUUUCGGUAAAACGGCCAUUCAGGGGAAAAGCAGUUUUCUAGAAUAGAAUCGCGACCGUCCGUUUCCUUCUCGCUCUUCUACGCGGUCUCUUAUUCUCUGCGUCGCUGUACAGUUUUAACGAUGUUCGGAUCGAACAUUCUUCUUAUUAGAAUGCUUUUGUUACCGUUGCGUUGAAUUUUUUGAAACCUGAAGCUACGGCUAACUUCUUGUCUGUAAGUUUCUGCGCGAUAGGAAAGUCGUUCGUUCUUCUUGCGAAUCCUGCACUUCAAUUUUUCAUUUUCUACUUUCGUUGGGUUAAACAAAAUGUUUUUGCAUUUCUGCGUAUUGCGUUAAUACGAUCGGGUAACGUAAUCUUCCAACGUUUCCGAGAGUUUAGCUGUCAGAACUUUCGGUUUGGUUCUUCGAGCUUUUCAACCCCUUCCUUCACAGAAACUUUUUCCGUUCGGAUAAACGUAUUGGAAUCUGAAUAAAUGACAACCGUAAUGGCUGAUGUUAAAUCAAGCGAAUAUAGACGAAGCUUUUUUUAUACUGAUCUCCCGUUUAAUUCCAUAAUUUUAUCCAAAUCGUAAAACUGUUACGCUCUCGAAUGUUAUUCUAAAGUCAGCCACUCUGUUUAAAUCACACUGGAUCGAAACUUUGCCUUAGACCGUUGACCUGGAAUGGAUUAACUCUAAAUACUAGUCUAUUACAUAUUUCGAUGUACGAUAUUAGAACGAACAGAUGGUAAAACGAGCGCGACUGUACAGCCAAUUACGUACGUUUUAGCAUACGUAGGACGCGCGACGAAAUAAAAAAUUACCUUAUAAUUAUUCUUUUGGAAGGUUGAUGAACGUGUUUAAUUGCGAGCUAAUAUUAUUACCUCGUGAAAAUAACACCGUGACAAUCGCGAUACGUAACUGCAAAAAGUAACUUCCCCCCUUGCUAUUAAUAGAACGUUCAAUUGCAUUUAUUUGACUCUAUUGAUCGGUAAAAUAAAAAAAAAAAAAAAAAAAAAAA